AUGGACAGCUCUGAGGACCAAGGCACGCGCGCCCUCCUCCCUGCCCGGAGAGCCCGGCUGUCUCAACUUGGGCAGCUAGCCGGAGGCAACGAGUCGCCGACUUCCCGGACUGAGAUUCCGCCGCUCGCUGCAGGCAGUUGCCAACAGCGGAGUCCCCAAAGUGCAGCGGCGGCGGCGGCGGCGGCAGUGGUGGGGAAAAGCGGAUUCCGCCCCGAGCCACACCGAGGGGAGCUCGCGAUCGCGACUUGCCGCCCUAAGCACUCUCCGAAGUCCGGCCCGCUCGGCGAGGACUUCCGUCUCCUGGGCGACCCUUGUCAAGCAAGCUGGGAUCUAUGAGUGGAAAGGUGACCAAGCCCAAAGAGGAGAAAGAUGCUUCUAAGGGUAAGCCCGCCCGCCCAGUCCGCCGGCUUCCCUUCCCUUGGUUUCCCUCGCCCCCUCGCGUGCGCGCCGCCCUUCGGUGGCUCCCUGCCUUCCUGCUGGAGCCUAAGCUGCCCGUGACCUCUGCGACC
rnacentral:lncRNA from 12 species